AUUGAACGCUGGCGGCAGGCCUAACACAUGCAAGUCGAACGAGUGGCGGACGGGUGAGUAAUGUCUGGGAAACUGCCUGAUGGAGGGGGAUAACUACUGGAAACGGUAGCUAAUACCGCAUACCAUCAGAUGGGCCCAUGUGGGUUGAGCUUGGUGGUGGGGGAACGGCUGACCAAGGCGACGAUCCCUCGCUGGUCUGAGAGGAUGACCAGCCACACUGGAACUGCGACACGGUCCAGACUCCUACGGGAGGCAGCAGUGGGGAAUAUUGCACAAUGGGCGCAAGCCUGAUGCAGCCAUGCCGCGUGUAUGAAGAAGGCCUUCGGGUUGUAAAGUACUUUCAGCGGGGAGGCGUUACCGGAAGAAGAAGCACCGGCUAACUCCGUGCCAGCAGCCGCGGUAAUUG
rnacentral:rRNA from 1 species